AUGUCGACGAGCUCGACCAACUCCGCCGAGUCCCCGGCCGUGUCCGGCCUCGACUACGACGACACCGCCCUCACCCUCGCCCUCCCCGGCUCCUCCGCCGACGACCGCAAGCGCGCCCACCACGACGAGCACGACAAGCCUCCCUCCCCAAAAGCGCGCGCUGUGGGGUGGCCUCCGGUGCGGGCUUACCGGCGCAACGCGCUGCGCGAGGAGGGCGCGUGCAAGCUCGUGAAGGUGGCCGUGGAUGGCGCCCCCUACCUGCGCAAGGUGGACCUCGCCGCGCACGGCGGGUACGAGGCCCUGCUCCGCGCGCUCCACGGCAUGUUCGCGCCGUGCCUCGCCGUCCGUGGCGAAGGCGAGCUCGGGAGCAGGCUCGUGGACGCGGCCACCGGCGCCGAGUACGUGCCCACCUACGAGGACAGGGACGGCGACUGGAUGCUCGUUGGAGACGUCCCCUGGAAGAUGUUCGUCGAGUCCUGCAAGCGGAUCCGACUCAUGAAGAGCUCCGAGGCCGUCAACCUAGCUCCAAGACCAUCUUCCUAA
rnacentral:rRNA from 1 species